rnacentral:lncRNA from 1 species
GCUUGGGGGAAGUGGGGGAUAGAAGUAUCUCCACAUCUCUCUUCAGCACUAUGAUAUUGUCAGCUUAUUCCUCUAGCCAGAGCCUAUCAGAAACUAGAAAUAAGAAAGUAUAACAAUGGAGUCUACAAGGUUUGGUUUUGGACUUGGUGGAUAUGAUGAUGACUCCUCUUUGACCAUGCAGAGAAAAACAAUGUCCUAGAGAAUAGUGUGAUAAUAAAGAGUAACUAGCCUGUGUUGCUAGCAUCUUGGAGCUACCCUGAGUCCCAUGGUUACUUUUUCUGAUUUUAGUGAGCUGCCACAUGGGGAGGCUCUCUGUCAAGAAACAAGGUUGUUUCCAGUCAAAAGUGGCAAUGAAAGGAGGCCCUCAGGCCAACAACCUUCAAGAAAUUUGAAGCCUAGCAACAACCACAACCUACAGCCACAGUUUGGAUGA